UUGAGAUAAUUGGCUAUGGUCUAGGUGAGUGCACUACCUGCUCAAACAGGCUUCGGAUCACACACGAGCAGCUUACUGGUUGCUAUUCUGAACAAAGAUGUCAUUAGGAAGUUGCUGAUCUUGUAUGAUGGUAGUGGAAAAUAAAGACAUCUAUAGGUCUGAAAACUGCCAUUUCACCGAACUGAAGAGGUGGUAGGUAAUAUAGUACCUGUGGAAAGUUUGUAAAUCCAGCUUUACACUGCAAAUUUAGGCCCAAUUUUGCUGUCGCAGACAAAAAUGGUAUGUCUUAAAAAUAUUUGGGGAUCAUGAGUUGAGAAUGGAAGUCUUAGGACACACAAUGUGAUGUGUUUACCUGCAGCUGAUUUAGUGUCACUAUGAUUACUAAAAAAGCAUAUGACUUUGUAAGAAAAUUUAUUAAUUUCUGCUCGUGACUGCUGCUAUGACGCUCAUCUAAAAGCGACUGAUCAAAGGACCGCAUAGGUGUCACGAAUCGUGACGGAGCAGAGAUAGGACGGAUGCAAGUGCAGGAUGAACAGUUGUUUAUUUGAAAGACAGACAGACAAAUCCAAAACGUGAUCCAAAACGUAAUCCAUAAACAUGCAAGAGGUCAGGCGAUUGGCAAACAGGCAUACACGGGGCAAGGCAGGAAUCUAGGUCGUGGUCACGGAAAACAGGGUCGAUAAACAAAACAAGAAACGAACUAUGACGAGGGACUGGAAGCGGAUAAUCCGGCGCGAACUAACUCUAAACAUGGACCGUGACUAUGACUAUGAUACGAGCUAAACUAACUCUAAACAUUUACUCUUCCGCGUUGUGUGCUGGGAGGCACGCCGUAUAUAUGCGGACAUAAUCAGCGUCUAAACCGCUAGCAGCUGAGAGCAAUUCAGACCCACGUGAAAUCCCAGCCAAUGACAGAACAGGGAGGUGACAGAAACAUAAACAAAACACACGUGUCCAGAUGUCAUUACAGUCAACAAUGGAAAAGCAGGUGCUCGCACAUUCGCGCUUAGAGCACGCUGCUUCAAGGGGGAAUCGUGACAGAACCACCCCCCCCGAAAGGCACUCCUCCCGGAGUGCCAUGAGUCAUCCCACUUCAUUGGCGGCCCCGGCCCCCUGGGCUGAAUGUCCCAAGCAGAGCCAGUAAACGGCCCGGUGUUCUUGGCGGCGUAGGGAAGCGGAGCGACGACCCUGGCUGAACAGGGAGGCUGAGCGACGUCCUCGUCGGAGCAUGAAAGCAGAGCGACGUCCACGGCGGAGCAGGGAAACAGAGCACUGUACUCAGCAGAGCAGGGAAGCAGGGCGACGUCCUCGUCGGAGCAUGAAGGCAGAGUGACGUCCUUGGCGGAGCAGGGAAACAGAGCACUGUACUCAGCAGAGCAGAGAAGCAGGGCGACGUCCUCGGCGGAGCAUGUAGGUAGAACGACGUCCCCAGUAAGGCCAGGGAGAGGAGCGUGGGUCUCCUCGCGGCCAGGGAGAGGAGCGUGGGUCUCCUCGCGGCCAGGGAGAGGAGCGUGGGUCUCCUCGAAGCAGAAGGGGGGAACGAUGUUUGCCAUGGAGCAGGAAGGCUGAGCGAUGCCCACAGCUGAACAGGGAGGCUGAGCGACGCCCACAGCUGAACAGGGAGGCUGAGCGACGCCCACAGCUGAACAGGGAGGCUGAGCGACGCCCACAGCUGAACAGGGGGGCUGAGGCUCUGAGGUCACCAGGUGAACCUUGGGCAUGGGUGGAGCUUGGGUGGCCAUGUCAGCAGACUGUGGCGUGAGCAGAGCUUGGCGGGGCGUGUCAGCAGACUGUGGCAUGAGCAGAGCUUGGCGGGGCGUGUCAGCAGACUGUGGCGUGAGCAGAGCUUGGUCAACUGGAUCAGCAGGCUUGAACGUGAGCUCAGGGCCGUGAGACUUGGCUUGGACCUCAGGGACGAGAGGCCUGGCUUGGACCUCAGGGACGAGAGGCCUGGCUUGGACCUCAGGGACCGGAGGCCUGGCUUGGACCUCAGGGACCGGAGGCCUGGCUUGGACCUCAGGGACCGGAGGCCUGGCUUGGACCUCAGAGCCUGGAGGCUUGGCUUGGACGUCAGAGCCUGGAGGCUUGGCUUGGACGUCAGAGCCUGGAGGCUUGGCUUGGACGUCAGAGCCUGGAGGCUUGGCUUGGACGUCAGAGCCUGGAGGCUUGGCUUGGAUUUCAGGGACUUGAGACUUGGCUUGGACUUGGAUUUCAGGGACUUGAGACUUGGCUUGGAUUUCAGGGACUGGAGGCUUGACUUGGAUCUCAGGGACUGGAGGCUUGACUUGGAUCUCAGGGACUGGAGGCUUGACUUGGAUCUCAGGGACUGGAGGCUUGACUUGGAUUUCAGAGUUGAGCUCUACAUGAAGUUGCCUGUAGUAGUAGGUAAACAGCAGGGCAGGUUCGCCUGCCAGACUUACCCCCCUGAGAAGUUGCUCUAGCUCGUCCUUUGCCUCCGGACUCCCGAAUCGCACCAUGAAUUCCCCCACAAACUGUUUUACACCGUCCAGGUUCCUACAGUGCUUAUCCAGUUUUAGCUGCACCCAUUGACGGGCCGGUCCAAAGAACCGGGACCACAUGAAUCGGAGCCAUUGCUUCUCCUCUGGCUUAGGGUCUAACAGGCUGGCGAAAUAGUAUUGACAGUCUACCAGAAAAUACUCAGGGGCACCGAAAAAUCCAUCAAAUGGAUCAGGAAGCUCCAUAAAUGUCCAUUGUGGGAAGUGGACGGAGUCCAUAGCGGGGACGGUUGGCGUCGACUUCCGGGUUCUGCGUCUCCUCCGUUCUCCUGCUGCAUCCAUGUUUUGGUGGAAGAUUCUGUCACGAAUCGUGACGGAGCAGAGAUAGGACGGAUGCAAGUGCAGGAUGAACAGUUGUUUAUUUGAAAGACAGACAGGCAGACAAAUCCAAAACGUGAUCCAAAACGUAAUCCAUAAACAUGCAAGAGGUCAGGCGAUUGGCAAACAGGCAUACACGGGGCAAGGCAGGAAUCUAGGUCGUGGUCACGGAAAACAGGGUCGAUAAACAAAACAAGAAACGAACUAUGACGAGGGACUGGAAGCGGAUAAUCCAGCGCGAACUAACUCUAAACAUGGACCGUGACUAUGAUACGAGCUAAACUAACUCUAAACAUUUAAUCUUCCGCGUUGUGUGCUG
ensembl:lncRNA